GACGCUGGCGGCGUGCCUAAUACAUGCAAGUCGAACGGUCUUUCUAUGGAAGCUUGCUUCCACUGAGAAGAUAGUGGCGAACGGGUGAGUAACACGUGGGUAACCUGCCCAUAAGAGGGGGAUAACAUCCGGAAACGGGUGCUAAUACCGCAUAGUUUUCUUGAUCGCAUGAUCGGGAAAGGAAAGACGGCCUUUGUGCUGUCGCUUAUGGAUGGACCCGCGGCGUAUUAGUUAGUUGGUGAGGUAACGGCUCACCAAGACGAUGAUACGUAGCCGACCUGAGAGGGUGAUCGGCCACAUUGGGACUGAGACACGGCCCAAACUCCUACGGGAGGCAGCAGUAGGGAAUCUUCCGCAAUGGACGAAAGUCUGACGGAGCAACGCCGCGUGAGUGAAGAAAGGUUUUCGGAUCGUAAAACUCUGUUGUCAGAGAAGAACAAGUUGGAGAGUAACUGCUCCAGCCUUGACGGUAUCUGACCAGAAAGCCACGGCUAACUACGUGCCAGCAGCCGC
rnacentral:rRNA from 1 species